AACAGGAUUCUCCUAGUAACUGCGAGUGAAAAGAGAUUAGCCCAACAUCGAAGCCUCCAUGCAUUUGUAUGGAAGGCAAUGUGAUGUUAAGACAUUUAGACUCACAGACUGGCUAACUUGAAGUCCAUAUUUGACUGUGGCUUGUGCGUAUGCACCCAUAGAGGGUGAAAGGCCCGUUCAGGUUGGUUUCUGACAUGACAGUCUUGUGUGUUUUUAUUUGUCUUGGAGUCGGAUUGCUUGAGAAUGCAGUCCUAAAUUGGUGGUAAACUCCAUCUAAGGCUAAAUACCUGUGCGAAUCCGAUAGUCAACAAGUACCGUGAGGGAAAGUUGAAAAGUACUCUGAAGAGAGAGUAAAUAGUACGUGAAAC
rnacentral:rRNA from 1 species